UACGUAGGGGGGCGAGCGUUGUCCGGAUUUAUUGGGCGUAAAGAGCUCGUAGGCGGUUUGGUAAGUCGGGUGUGAAAUCUCCACGCUCAACGUGGAGGGGCCACUCGAUACUGCCAUGACUCGAGUCCGGUAGAGGAGUGUGGAAUUCCCGGUGUAGCGGUGAAAUGCGUAGAUAUCAGGAGGAACACCGGUGGCGAAGGCGGCUACCUGGACAGAAACUGACGCUGAGGCGCGAAAGCUAGGGGAGCAAACAGG
rnacentral:rRNA from 1 species